rnacentral:rRNA from 1 species
GCUGCUCCUAGUACGAGAGGACCGGAGUGGACGCAUCACUGGUGUUCGGGUUGUCAUGCCAAUGGCACUGCCCGGUAGCUAAAUGCGGAAGAGAUAAGUGCUGAAAGCAUCUAAGCACGAAACUUGCCCCGAGAUGAGUUCUCCCUGACUCCUUGAGAGUCCUGAAGGAACGUUGAAGACGACGACGUUGAUAGGCCGGGUGUGUAAGCGCAGCGAUGCGUUGAGCUAACCGGUACUAAUGAACCGUGAGG